rnacentral:rRNA from 1 species
AGCGAACGCUGGCGGCAGGCCUAACACAUGCAAGUCGAACGGACCCUUCGGGGUUAGUGGCGGACGGGUGAGUAACACGUGGGAACGUGCCCUUUGGUCCGGAAUAGCUCCUGGAAACGGGUGGUAAUGCCGAAUGUGCCCUUCGGGGGAAAGAUUUAUCGCCAUUGGAGCGGCCCGCGUCUGAUUAGCUAGUUGGUAGUGUAACGGACUACCAAGGCGACGAUCAGUAGCUGGUCUGAGAGGAUGAUCAGCCACAUUGGGACUGAGACACGGCCCAAACUCCUACGGGAGGCAGCAGUGGGGAAUCUUGCGCAAUGGGCGAAAGCCUGACGCAGCCAUGCCGCGUGAAUGAUGAAGGUCUUAGGAUUGUAAAAUUCUUUCACCGGGGACGAUAAUGACGGUACCCGGAGAAGAAGCCCCGGCUAACUUCGUGCCAGCAGCCGCCGUAAUAC